rnacentral:rRNA from 1 species
GAUGAACGCUGGCGGCGUGCCUAAUACAUGCAAGUCGAGCGAACAGAUGAGGAGCUUGCUCCUCUGACGUUAGCGGCGGACGGGUGAGUAACACGUGGAUAACCUACCUAUAAGACUGGGAUAACUUCGGGAAACCGGAGCUAAUACCGGAUAAUAUAUUGAACCGCAUGGUUCAAUAGUUAAAUACGGUUUUGCUGUCACUUAUAGAUGGAUCCGCGCCGGAUUAGCUAGUUGGUAAGGUAACGGCUUACCAAGGCAACGAUGCGUAGCCGACCUGAGAGGGUGAUCGGCCACACUGGAACUGAGACACGGUCCAGACUCCUACGGGAGGCAGCAGUAGGGAAUCUUCCGCAAAGGGCGAAAGCCUGACGGAGCAACGCCGCGUGAGUGAUGAAGGUCUUCGGAUCGUAAAACUCUGUUAUUAGGGAAGAAAAAAUGUGUAAGUAAAUAUGCACGUCUUGACGGUACCUAAUCAGAAAGCAACGGCUAACUACGUG